rnacentral:rRNA from 1 species
UCGAGAGGGAAACAGCCCAGAUCACCGUUUAAGGCCCCUAAAUAAUUACUAAGUGACAAAGGAGGUAAUCGUACAUAGACAACCAGGAGGUUUGCCUAGAAGCAGCCACCCUUUAAAAAUUGCGUAAUAGCUUACUGGUCAAGUGCUUUUGCGCCGAAAAUGAAUGGGACUAAGUAAUUUGCCGAAAAUGUGAGAUAAUAUCGGUAGAAGAGCGUUCUGUUUUAGUUUGAAGCAAUAGUGUAAACAGUUGUGGACUAUUCAGAAGUGAGAAUGUCGGCUUAAGUAACGAAAACAUUGGUGGAAAUCCAAUGCCCCGAAAACCUAAGGAUUCCUUCGCAAGGUUCGUCCACGAAGGGUUAGUCAGGGCCUAAAAUGAGGUUUAACAACGUAAUUGAUGGAUAACGGGUUAAUAUUCCCGUACUGCAAUUUAUAUGAUUAAGAGUGACGAAGAAGGCUAUAUCAUCCAAGUUUUGGUUUUUGGUUUAAUCUUUCAAGAUUUUGAGAAAUGCUAAAAAAAGUAUUUUGAGUUGAGAAGAGAAUACGAGAUAUACUACGGUAUUGAAAGUGAUAAAUGCCAUGCUUCCUAGAAAAACUUUUUUAACUUCUGUAGAUUGUACCUGUACCUUAAACUGACACAGGUAGGUUGGUAGAGAAUACCAAGGGGCGCGAGAUAACUCUUUCUAAGGAACUCGGCAAAAUGACUCUGUAACUUCGGGAGAAAGAGUGCCACAUUUAUGUGGUCGCAGUUAACAGACCCAAGCGACUGUUUACCAAAAACACAGGUCUCCGCUAAGUUGUAAAACUAUGUAUGGGGGCUGACGCCUGCCCAGUGCCGGAAGGUUAAAGAAAUUGGUUAGCUCACGCGAAGCUGGUGACUGAAGCCCUGGUGAACGGCGGCCGUAACUAUAACGGUCCUAAGGUAGCGAAAUUCCUUGUCGGGUAAGUUCCGACCCGCACGAAAGGCGUAACGAUUUGGGUACUGUCUCAGAAAGAGACUCGGUGAAAUAGAAUUGACUGUGAAGAUGCGGUCUACUUGCACUUGGACAGAAAGACCCUAUGAAGCUUUACUGUAACUUGAAAUUGGUUUCGGGCUUUUCUUGCGCAGAAUAGGUGGGAGGCUAUGAUCCUCUUUUUCGGAAGUUGGUGAGCCGCAAUGUGAGAUACCACUCUAGAAAAGUUAGAAAUCUAAUGACAUUUUUUAAUCAAGAUGUUUGACACUUUCAGGCGGGCAGUUUUACUGGGGCGGUAGCCUCCUAAAAAGUAACGGAGGCGUACAAAGGUUUUCUCAGGCUGGACGGAAAUUAGUUGUAGAGUGUAAAGAUAUAAGAAAGCUUGACUGUGAGACCUACAAGUCAAACAGAGACUAAAGUCGGUCUUAGUGAUCCGACGGUGCUGUAUGGAAAGGCCGUCGCUCAACGGAUAAAAGUUACUCUAGGGAUAACAGGCUGAUCUCCCCCAAGAGUUCACAUCGACGGGGAGGUUUGGCACCUCGAUGUCGGCUCAUCGCAACCUGGGGCGGAAGUACGUUCCAAGGGUUGGGCUGUUCGCCCAUUAAAGCGGUACGUGAGCUGGGUUCAGAACGUCGAGAGACAGUUCGGUCCAUAUCCGGUGUGAGUGUUAGAGUAUUGAAAGUAGCUUUCCUUAGUACGAGAGGACCGGGAAGGACGCACCACUGAUGUACCAGUUUUGUACCAACAGAAUACGCUGG